UACGUAGGGGGGCAAGCGUUGUCCGGAAUUAUUGGGCGUAAAGAGCUCGUAGGCGGUUUGUUGCGUCGGCUGUGAAAUCCCGAGGCUCAACCUCGGGUCUGCAGUCGAUACGAGCAAACUAGAGUGUUGCAGGGGAGACUGGAAUUCCUGGUGUAGCGGUGAAAUGCGCAGAUAUCAGGAGGAACACCGGUGGCGAAGGCGGGUCUCUGGGCAACAACUGACGCUGAGGAGCGAAAGCGUGGGGAGCGAACAGG
rnacentral:rRNA from 1 species